AAUGAACGCUGGCGGCAGGCCUAACACAUGCAAGUCGAACGAGUGGCGGCCGGGUGAGUCAUGUCUGGGAAACUGCCUGAUGGAGGGGGAUAACUACUGGAAACGACAGCUAAUACCGCAUACCAUAAGAUUUGCCCAGAUGGGAAUAGCCUGUGGGCGGGGUAACGGCUCACCAAGGCGACGACCCCCAGCGGGUCUGAGAGGUGGACCAGCGCCACGGGAACUGGGAAACGGCCAAGACUCCUACGGAAGGAGGCAUAGGGGAAGUUUGCACAAUGGGCGCAAGCCUGAUGCAGCCAGGCCGGGUGUAUGAAGAAGGCCUUCGGGUUUUAAAGUACGUUCAGCGGGAAGGCGUUACUCGCAGAAGAAGCACCGGCUAACUCCGUGCCAGCAGCCGCGGUAAUUC
rnacentral:rRNA from 1 species